rnacentral:rRNA from 1 species
CCUACGGGCCGCACCAGUAGGGAAUCUUCGGCAAUGGACGAAAGUCUGACCGAGCAACGCCGCGUGAGUGAAGAAGGUUUUCGGAUCGUAAAACUCCGUUGGUAGAGAAGAACGUUGGUGAGAGUGGAAAGCUCAUCAAGUGACGGUAACUACCCAGAAAGGGACGGCUAACUACGUGCCAGCAGCCGCGGUAAUACGUAGGUCCCGAGCGUUGUCCGGAUUUAUUGGGCGUAAAGCGAGCGCAGGUGGUUUAUUAAGUCUGGUGUAAAAGGCAGUGGCUCAACCAUUGUAUGCAUUGGAAACUGGUAGACUUGAGUGCAGGAGAGGAGAGUGGAAUUCCAUGUGUAGCGGAGAAAUGCGUAGAUAUAUGGAGGAACACCGGUGGCGAAAGCGGCUCUCUGGCCUGUAACUGGCACUGAGGCUCGAAAGCGUGGGGAGCAAACAGGAUUAGAUACCCGGGUAGUC